rnacentral:rRNA from 1 species
UUGACCUCGGAUCAGGUAGGAAUACCCGCUGAACUUAAGCAUAUCAAUAAGCGGAGGAAAAGAAACCAACAGGGAUUGCCCCAGUAACGGCGAGUGAAGCGGCAACAGCUCAAAUUUGAAAUCUGGCCCCCAGGGUCCGAGUUGUAAUUUGCAGAGGAUGCUUCGGGUGCGGCGUCGACCAAGUCCCCUGGAACGGGGCGCCAUAGAGGGUGAGAGCCCCGUCGGGUCGGUCGCCAAGCCUGUGUGAAGCUCCUUCGACGAGUCGAGUAGUUUGGGAAUGCUGCUCUAAACGGGAGGUAGACCCCUUCUAAAGCUAAAUAUUGGCCAGAGACCGAUAGCGCACAAGUAGAGUGAUCGAAAGAUGAAAAGCACUUUGAAAAGAGGGUUAAACAGUACGUGAAAUUGUUGAAAGGGAAGCGCUUGUGACCAGACGUGCGCCGGGUGUUCAGCGGGCGUUCUCGCCCGUGUACUCGCCCCGGCGCAGGCCAGCGUCGGUUCGGAUGGGGGGACAAAGGCCCCGGGAAUGUGGCUCCUCCGGGAGUGUUAUAGCCCGGGGCGUCAUGCCCCCGCCCGGACCGAGGUUCGCGCUCUGCAAGGACGCUGGCGUAAUGGUCCCCAGCGGCCCGUCUUGAAACACGGACCAAGGAGUCGAGGUUUUGCGCGAGUGUUUGGGUGUCAAACCCGCACGCGUAAUGAAAGUGAACGCAGGUGGGAGCUUCGGCGCACCACCGACCGAUCCUGAUGUUCUCGGAUGGAUUUGAGUAGGAGCGUAGGGCCUCGGACCCGAAAGAUGGUGAACUAUACGUGGAUAGGGUGAAGCCAGAGGAAACUCUGGUGGAGGCUCGCAGCGGUUCUGACGUGCAAAUCGAUCGUCAAAUCUGCGUAUGGGGGCGAAAGACUAAUCGAACCAUCUAGUAGCUGGUUACCGCCGA